GACGAACGCUGGCGGCGUGCCUAAUACAUGCAAGUCGAACGAACCGCGACUAAGUGCUUGCACUAAGUCAAGGUGAGUGGCGAACGGGUGAGUAACACGUGGGUAACCUACCUCAUAGUGGGGGAUAACAGUCGGAAACGACUGCUAAUACCGCAUAGGACAUAGGAUCACAUGAUCCAGUGAGGAAAGGUGGCGCAAGCUAUCGCUAAGAGAUGGACCCGCGGUGCAUUAGCUAGUUGGUAGGGUAAAGGCCUACCAAGGCGAUGAUGCAUAGCCGACCUGAGAGGGUGAUGGCCCACAUUGGGACUGAGCCACGGCCCAACCUCCUACGGGAGGCAGCAGUAGGGAAUCUUCCGCAAUGGACGCAAGUCUGACGGAGCAACGCCGCGUGAGUGAAGAAGGUCUUCGGAUCGUAAAGCUCUGUUGUUAGAGAAGAACAGCGCAUAGAGUAACUGCUAUGCGUGUGACGGUAUCUAACCAGAAAGCCACGGCUAACUACGUG
rnacentral:rRNA from 1 species